rnacentral:lncRNA from 1 species
GCCAUGGUCGGAAACGAGUAGAAGGCACCUCGCCUAGAACUUGAUACCGAGAUGACCAGGAUGCAAAGGCCUCCCGGUUGACUAAGAUGGCAGAUGAGGCGGAUAAAGCUAUGGAAGUACUUUUGAAGCAGCGUUAGGAUAUAGCUGAGCAGAUGGCUCGGAUGGCAGAGUUGAGAGAUGAAGAGCUCAGCUAUGUCCAAUCCGAAGAGCAAGGGCAUCGGAGUGGGAAGGAACCUGCUCAUUCAGGGCGACAGUCUCUGGGCCGAACUA